GGUCCCGCCUGCCCUGUGACUUAAAGUUUAACGGCCGCGGUAUUUUGACCGUGCAAAGGUAGCGCAAUCACUUGUCUUUUAAAUGAAGACCUGUAUGAAUGGCAUCACGAGGGCUUAGCUGUNUCCUUUUUCAAGUCAAUGAAAUUGAUCUCCCCGUGCAGAAGCGGGGAUAAUAAUAUAAGACGAGAAGACCCUAUGGAGCUUUAGACCUAAUGCAGUCCACGAAUAAUACUUUUGAUUAUAAAAGAAAAGCUCAAUGGAUCCUGCACACCUGUCUUUGGUUGGGGCGACCGCGGGGAAAAAUAAAACCCCCACGAGGAUUGAGAGUUCUACCUCCUAAAACCAAGAGCCACAGCUCUAAGUAACAGAAAUUCUGACCUAAAUGAUCCGGGCAACCGAUCAACGAACCGAGUUACCCUAGGGAUAACAGCGCAAUCCCCUUCCAGAGCCCAUAUCGACAAGGGGGUUUACGACCUCGAUGUUGGAUCAGGACAUCCUAAUGAGCAGCCGCUAUUAAGGGUUCGUUUGUUCAACGA
rnacentral:rRNA from 1 species